rnacentral:rRNA from 1 species
GUAGGUGGCAAGCGUUGUCCGGAAUCAUUGGGGCGUAAAGCGCGCGCAGGCGGUUCUUUAAGUCUGAUGUGAAAGCCCACGGGCUCAACCGUGGAGGGUCAUUGGAAACUGGAGAACUUGAGUACAGAAGAGGAAAGCGGAAUUCCACGUGUAGCGGUGAAAUGCGUAGAGAUGUGGAGGAACACCAGUGGCGAAGGCGGCUUUCUGGUCUGUAACUGACGCUGAGGCGCGAAAGCGUGGGGAGCAAACAGGAUUAGAUACCCUGGUAGUCCACGCCGUAAACGAUGAGUGCUAAGUGUUAGGGGGUUUCCGCCCCUUAGUGCUGCAGCUAACGCAUUAAGCACUCCGCCUGGGGAGUACGGCCGCAAAGGCUG